CUACUUCCAAUACAGACCCUCUGUCACUGUGACAGUUGUUUAAGGUUGAGGGGGGUCAUCCAUGCUUUGCCAAUGAAAAGGCAAAGCUUAUAGAUGGUUCCUUAUCUUAUGCCUAGACUGAGUAAGCCAAGGCCAAUGCCUGGGUCACUUGUAAGGAAACCUUGGGUGUCUGUUGUCUCAGAUGUCCUGGUUUUAGCUUUUGUGUUCUGGGCAUGCCAAGGCAAUCCUCAUGAAGCCAGGACUUUGUUCUCUCAUGUAUGACUUCAUUUGCAGCACCUAGUACUGGGCCUGGCACCCAGUAGGUGCACAAUAAAUAGGUUGAACAAAUUGAAAUGUGCCUGGACCUUUGCAUAUGUUGUUGUCUAGUCCUGAAAUGGUCUUCCCAUCCUGAUGCUAUUCCAGUUGUCCUUAAGGUCAUAGCUUAAAAGUCAUCUUGAGCCAGUCAAUGUCUAAACUGGAAAAUAGAAAUUAUGACAGUUAAUUUAAUACAGGAAAUGGCUAGAUACAUACUGAAAGAUGAAAGAGAAAAGAGAGAACACUGCCUGUUGUGUAAAUAAAGUUUUAUUGGAACACAGUCAUGUUCAUUCAUUUACUUGUUGUCCAGUUACAUAGUAACUGCUCUGGAUUAGCUCACACUUCUGCAUAACAGACCACCCCAAAACUAGCUUCUUAACCCAGCCAACCUUCAUUAUCCUAUUUUCUGUUGGCCUGGAAGCUGGGCAAGGCUUCAUCCUCUGCCUAAGGAUGCUUCAUAAAUCGACCACUGGGUGUCAGCUGAGGCUUUGGUCUCAUCCAAGGUCCCACCUGAGGAAGGAUCUGCUUCCAAUCUCACUCGAGUGGUCAUUGGCAGUCUCUUGUAGGCUCCUUGGACUGGAGACUUUAGUUUAUCAUUGUCAUUGGCUGGAGGACCCCCUCGGUUCCUUGCCUGGUGGGCGUCUUUCUGGGACAGUUCACAACAAUGUACCAUGUUCAUCAGAGCAUGUGAGCAAGAGAAAAGCCAUGACCAGGGCCACAGUGUCAUUACUGAGUCUCAGAAGUCACUUCACCCCUGCUAGUAGGAGUGAGUCAGAAAGUCCGUCCCACCACUCCAGGAAUGAGGGUCACACAUAGACAUGAACCAGGGUGGAGGGCCAAGCCCAUUCCAGAGGCUAGCCCUGAUGGGCAGAAAGAAGCUAAUUACACCACAGGGCUGGAAGGACGGCAGCGAGGUUAGAGUUUUAGGAGGAGGGUUUGAGGAGGGUCCCCACUGAGUGUGACCCUGGCCAGCUGAUACUGGGUACCGUGAGGCUGUUUCUAGGAAUGUGAGGAGAACACCUGGAAACAGGAACUAAUUACUCUUUCUGAAACCAUCCGGUGCUGCCUGGGGUACCGGGAGAGCCACCAGUAGUAACAGCAACAGGGUGUCGGCUUGAGCUUCUAUGAUGGCUUGAAUCACAUCUCAUCAGAGUUCACGUGAAGUGCCUUAGGAUGUGACAACAUUUGGAAACAGUCAAUGCCGAUACGGUUAGCUAAGAGGUGGAUUUGGGAGGACCCAAUCCAAUACAGUGGGUGUCUUUCCAUAAAGGAAAAACUUGGACAGAAACACACAUGGAGAGAAGGACAUGGGAACAGGAAGUCAGAGAUCAGGGUGGCAUUUCUACCAGCCCAGGAUGCCAAGGGUUUCCAGCAGGCCUUGAGAAGCAAGGAAAGAGGUUUAGGACAGAUUCUGUUCCUCAUUCCUCUGAAGAAACAACCCUUGGGACACUUUGAUCUUGGAUUUCCAGUCUCCAGAAUUGAGACAAUAGAGUUCUGUAGUUAAAGCCCCCCACCAGCCUGUGGUACAUAGUUGCCCCUUAUCCAUGAUUUUGCUUUCCGUGAGUUCUCAUAACCAUGUCAACCAUGGUCUGAACAAUCCAGAAACAGGGUUUGUAAGUUUUGAAUAACUUUGAGUACAGUAUACUAUUAAAAUUGUUCUAUUUUAUUGUUAUUGUUAACCUUGUAAUCUUAUUGUGCCUCGUUUAUAAAUUAAACUUUAUCAUAGGUAGGGUAUAUAUUUUAAAAAAAACCCCAAACCUACACAGGGUUUGGUACUGUCCAUGGUUUCGAGCAUCCUUGGGGCUUUGAUGGCAUUCCAUAUGGUAAUGGGGGCGGGGAGGCUACUGCACAUUGCUAUGCUCUGGGAAGCUAACACAGCCUCCUUCAGCCUUGAGGUCAUCUCUGGAACCUUUUGUCUUACAGAACUACCAUGGAUGCUGGCUGUAGAGUCUCAGUCCAGCACGGCCAUGUAGGACUUAGAAGGGUGGGUGGACACUGAGCCAGGGUUGUGUGAAGGCCAGCACAUGUGUCUUUGGGGAAGGUCUUUGGUGACCUCCUCCACCCCCUCCACACAGGCCCUGUUGGGUCUCCACCUUUCUCUAUGUCCAUUUAGUCCCAUGCACCACCUUCUCUCAG
rnacentral:lncRNA from 1 species